rnacentral:rRNA from 1 species
AUUGAACGCUGGCGGCAGGCUUAACACAUGCAAGUCGAACGAGUGGCGGACGGGUGAGUCAUGUUUGGGAAUCUUGCCAAUGGAGGGGGAUAACUACGGGAAACUGUAGCUAAUACCGCGUACCAUUGGAUGGGCCCAAGUGGGAUUAGGUAGUUGGUGAGGUAAUGGCUCACCAAGCCGACGAUCCCUAGCUGGUCUGAGAGGAUGACCAGCCACACGGGAACUGAGACACGGCCCAGACUCCUACGGGAGGCAGCAGUGGGGAAUAUGGCGCAAUGGGGGCAACCUGACGCAGCCAUGCCGCGUGAAGGAAGAAGGCCUUCGGGUUGUAAAGUUCUUUCGGUCGCGAGGCGUUAGCUACAGAAGAAGCACCGGCUAACUCCGUGCCAGCCGCCGCGGUAAUAC